GAAUCAUGUAGCUAUUUAAUACAUAUAGUGGAACAUUCGACGAUAGCUUAACAGUUGAACUAUCUACAUAUAUUGCCUAAAUAAAUAAAUGGUGUAGUAACUUCGUCGAGUCAAGAAUCAAACGAAUAGGCCAUCUAGUAGGAACUUGGUGGAAAUAUUGUUUAGAUUAAAUAAUAUUGGUUAAUUUCAGCAUGUAAAUGGUCUAGGAUUAAAAUUGGAAUUGCUAAUCUGCUUUAUCUGUCGAGUUAAAUGAGCUCUUAGGACUUGGAUUUGGUCAUUUGCUCUCCCCUUCAGUGAGCACACAUGAGAUGCCGACCAUUUCACCUCAUUAGCACUUGUGAUUUAUUUAAAUGAUGGUUUUUUUUUUUAGAUUCAUAACAAAUUUGAUUGAUUAAAAUUUUAAAACUGAAUUGUUAUUCUAUUCACCAUAGAUGCAAAAUACCCACAACUAAAUUUGAGCUACAGAAAGACUAGUUUCAUUUUUUCUUUCAGCUUCAUUCGUAGACCUCAUCACGUUGGCGACAUAGACCCGUAUAAGAACCAACAGAGAAACAGUAGUCAUUUUCAUUAUUUUCCUUGGCUUCUUUCAGGUUUGCAGCCAAACGACUAGAAAUUGAGGUUGGUUCAUCAUCUGACAAUUCACUUUCAGAUUCAAUGAAAAUCCUUCUGAAACCUUUGCCAUUUGUUCUGCGAAGUCGGCCUUUGUCCACUGAUCUUCAGAAUUCCUGUUCUGGUCAGUUGAACCCUCAGCUGGUCCUUCUUGAAACCGGUGUGACAUAUGAAAUCAAUACAUAGCAGAAGAUAGAGAAUAACCUUUUAAGUUUAGCAAUGAAAAUUAUAAAGAAAAUAACAAUAUUCGUGCGUGAAGUGGAUAUAUAACUUCUGAGAAUACUGACUCAACCACUCCACCACAAUCCUUAUUAGUCGGAUUUGAAUAUGUCAAUGCCUUUAGAUGUAUCCUUUUUACUCUUCUUGCAAAUCUUACAGGGCUGAAA